UACGGGGGGGGCAAGCGUUGUUCGGAAUUAUUGGGCGUAAAGAGCUCGUAGGCGGUUUGUCGCGUCUGCUGUGAAAGACCGGGGCUCAACUCCGGUUCUGCAGUGGGUACGGGCAGACUAGAGUGCAGUAGGGGAGACUGGAAUUCCUGGUGUAGCGGUGAAAUGCGCAGAUAUCAGGAGGAACACCGAUGGCGAAGGCAGGUCUCUGGGCUGUAACUGACGCUGAGGAGCGAAAGCAUGGGGAGCGAACAGG
rnacentral:rRNA from 1 species